UUCUUGAAUGCAUUACAGCCUAUAAUUAUUCUAAAAUUUUUUAAUUCCCGCUUUCUUAUCUCUUUCAAAUCGCGAUUUGCUAAUAUUUUUUUUUUUCUUUUCCUUCCUGUCUCUCCCAAUCGAAGCACAAAUCUCCACUGUGUGAGGACGAAACCCACCCUCACGCAUCCAUCUUCACCAACCUGCAUCUGAACAAACCAACAGCGGCGUCGCUUCGUCUUCUCCACCACAGAUCUCACCAUCAGUCUGAUGCCGCUGUGACGAACCAGCAACCACCUACCAUCUUCUUCAUUGCAACCAACAGGAAAACCUAUUCACGCAGUACCACCACGAGCCACCUCCGAGGUUCGUUCCACCAAAGUCCCAGCCACUCAUCGUAGCUCCAAGAUUCGCGACCACCAUUAGCACCAAACCUAGCCACUGCGAAACCUGCAGGAAAUCACAGCAAGAUCAUCUCGCCACCACUGAAUCACGAGUCAUUUAUCGUCUUCCUCGCACAACCUCCAAACCUACAUCUCAGAUUGCAGGGUUUUCUUGGAUUGGUGUUGGUGUGGCUGCUGGAAUGGUUGGUGAGGCCAGGCCCGGAUUGAAAAGAAAGUUAAAGCUCAACUUGUGUGGUUCAAAGAUGAAAGCAAAGUUGUCUGCAUACCUGUUAUUGUAGUUAUAGAUCAGAACAAUAUCACAGGACCUAUACCUUUAUCAUUUGCAAAACUAAACACCACUGUACAUUUAGCAGUCACAUGAACAACAAUUCGCUUAGUGGGCAAAUACCACCACAACUUUCCAGCUUAGGAAGCCUUCUUCACCUUCUUCUUGACAACAACAACUUUACAGGAGAUCUUCCCUCUGAGCUCUCUCAGAUGCCAAGCUUAAAGAUUUUGUAUAUUGUUAUUUGUUGCAUAGCAAAUUAUAUAUACUCUUCAUUGAUUUGACAAAGGUUUCCAAAUCAGCAAUCAAUUUAUUUGUCUGUGAGUACUUUUCAUCAAGUGCAACAUUGACAUCAAUCAAUUUCAUAUGAACACGCUCUUCACGCCACACUUCAGCUAUCUGCAACAUCUUCCUAACUUGGUAUCAGCUAACUCGUUAACCAGUCUGGAAUUGACAAUUUCAAUCCUCUGGCGGCUUUUCCUUUCUCCACUCAACUCUGAUUUAAUGUCAUCAACAUAAGCACGAAUUUUCUCAUGCUCUCUGCUUCGCCUUGAGGCCCUGUCUUCACCCACUUUCUUCAAGAAAAAGUUUCUUUUUGGAGGAGUGGCGCUCAGUCUCAAGCUCCUGAAUCUGUGCACGAGCCUACUCUAGUUCAGCUUCAAGAGCAGAUACAGCAGAAGCAUUACUAACCUUUUGGUCAAGAAGUUUCAUUUGACUCUAGAUAUUUUGCACCUCAUCUGAUGUUUUUAAACAAACAGGAUCCCAGUUUGUUGCACCCUCCAUUGUAGUACUUUGUAGAUAAUUUUUUAUUUUAUUUUUUAAUAAUUUUAAUAGCCAUGUGUUAAACAAAAAAGGUUGAUAUGAUACGGUGCAGGUUAAACAAAAAAGAUGAAAUAGAAGAAGAGAUGAAGAGUGGUGUGGGCUCCCGUCAAGUGUAAAGGUCGUUGCAUAUUGGUGGCACCAAAGCCCAAUACUUUCAUGCCAUUUGGUAGUGGAGUGCAUGCCUGCCCUGUCAAUAAUUUCAGUAUCACUCACACAGACAACCUUGCAAAGGCACCAUGCAGUACUGCAGGCAUUAGCAUUGGAAGAGGAUGAUGUUCACAAACGAAAGAUGAAACAUUACUUGACGAGGAAGGCUUGGCCAGAUUCGGAGUUCCUCUUAAUAGCACUUGUAGCACUACCCUAGAGUGAAGGGGAAAAGCAGAGAAAGCUUGUGCUUUUCAUUUUCAAUGAUCCUCUGAAUCAUUCAACCUUUUCUACUUCAAUGAGCAACUGGUGGGAUGUGUUUUUAUAGUGAAUUUAUUCUUGUAAUCACUACUGAAAAGUGCAGGUGAUGACAAAGAGCCUUUAUUAUUUAGUAGAUACUAGUGUGAUUUUACCUGGUGCCAAAGUCUCAGUUGCAAUUCAAAAUCAUAUCGGAAGCAUAAUUUUUUGUACACGUAAUGAAGAUUACCCCAUUACCAAUUUGGCACGGCCAGAAUCAUCAGUCCCUUGGUUUUCGUUUUGGUAAUAUCUGUUACAUUAGUGAUGUUAGUGAAAUUCCUGAAGAAACUUACCCACUUCUAAAGGACUGUGAAAUUCUAAUCCUGUGUUUGAUUCCACAGGAUGCAUUAAGACCUUAUCGUUCUACUUCCACACAUUUUGGACUUCCAAGGGCAUUGGAGGAAGUGCGGAAAAUUCAACCCACAAGAACACUUUUUACUGGUGUCACUAAACCGCAAUGCCAGCCUCUUUGAUUUUGCAGUUUCUCAAUAUCUCAUUUAAUUUUUGUUAGUUGAGAUGAAUAUGUGUAUAAUACUCAGUGUUUUGUUUUCUUCUUUUGUUUAGAGGUUAAGGAUUAAGGUUAACGAUACAAUUUAUGGUUUAGGAUUAGGAUUGAAGGUUGGCGAUUAAGAUUAGGGUUAGGGAUUGGGGUGAAGGUUAAAGUUAGUGUUUAAGGUUUAAGGGUUUAGUAGGUUAAGGUUAUGGUUUAGGGUUAGUGUUAUGAUUAGAAGUUGGGAUUUACAAUUUAGAAUUAGGAUUUAUGUUGCUAUUUUAAAGUAAUUGUUAAUAGUGUUGUUUAAGGAUUAGUGUUUAAAAUUUGAAGUUUAGUGUUAGAGUUUAAAAUUUAAGAUUAGGGUUAUGGUUUAGUGUUAGUGUUUAAGGUUUAGGAGAUUUAGGUUUGGAGUUUAGGAGUUUAUGGUAAGGGUUUAGAGUUUAAGGACUAAUGGUUUAGGUUUAGAAUUAAGGUUUAUGAUUAGGAUUGAGGGUUGGUUAUUAAGAUUAGAGUUAGGGAUUGGGGGUGAAGGUUAAAGUUAGUGUUUAAGGUUUAAGGCUAGGACAAGGGUGUUUAGGAGGUUUAGGUUUGGGGUUUAGAUUUUAGAAUUAAGGUUUAAAAUUUAGGAUUGAGGUUAAGGUUUAGGGUUAUUGUUAGAAGUUGGGAUUUAGAAUUUAGGGUUAGGAUUAGGAUUUAUGUUGCUAUUAUAAGGUAAUUUUAUAAUUGUUGAAAGAUUAGUGUUUAAAAGUUGGAGUUUAACGUUAGAAUUUAAAGUUUAAGAUUAAGAUUAAGGCUUGGAUUAGGGUUUAGGGGGUAAGGUUAAUGUUUAAGAUUAGGGUUUAGGAUUUAAGGAUUGUGUUUAAGGCCAAGGUCUUGGUUAGAAUUAGGGUUACAAUUAGGAUUUAUAAGAUUAGGAUUGUGGUUAGAGUUUGGAUUAGUGUUAAGGUUAUGAUGAAAAAUUAUCAUAUUAUAUUCUUUUGGAGGAUGGAUCUAUAAGAAUUCACCUAUUUUAAGGUUUAGAAAGAGAGAGAGGAGGUUCUAGGAAAUAUUUAGUAAGGUGUAAAAAGAGUGUAAUAAGAGUAUAUUAUUUAAUCCAUAAUCUCUAAUCUCUAAAUCUAAACUCCUAAAAUCCCUCAAAGUUCUCAACUCUUAACCUUCAACUUGCAACCCUCAACCAUAACUCCUGAACCUUGACACCAGAACCCAUACCCUUCAAGAAGCACCCAACCAAACAAUCUCUUUUCUUUUUCUUUUUUUUAGUGGCCUUUAACAGAUAGUGUUGAUGCCUUACCAUUUUUUUAUACUCUAAUAUAGCUAAGAUAUUGAUUUAAAUGGCCACAUAUGACAACAACAUGAUCUAGCAUUUAACAAUUAGUAAAAUGAAUACCAUAGUGUUGAUGCCUUAACAUUUUUUUUGUACUCUAAUAUAGCUAAUGACAUUGACUUAAAUGGCCACAUGUGACAACAUGAUCUAGCAUUUAACAAUUAGUAGAAUGAAUACCAUAGAAGACGCAAGCAAUAGCCUUCUCUCAGCUUAUAGAAAAAGAAAAAAAUGCAGACUCAAAAUAUAAUUCUCUAUUGUCAUGCCAUAUGCAAUCAACCUACAAAGUGUUUAUCACUUUGUAGAGUAUAAAUAGUACUACGAGUGCACAUCUACAAUGAAGCCUUAUGUCAAAGCAUGUAUCUAGAUAAUUAAUUAUAGUGUCAAUUGUUUAUGUGUGUUUAUAUGAGUUAUUGUAUUUCAUAAAUGUUUAACUUAUAUAUGAAAUAAUUUAAUUGUCUUAGAAAAUCCUUUUUGUACAUCAGCUUACCUUGUUGUUUUCUUGUGUCUUUGUGU